CAAAGUUGAUAGGGAGGCCCAUUGUCUUCUCUCUUUGGCCUGACAAGCUGCAGUUUUUCCAAAACCAGGUGGCUAAAAGAAGAGAGGGACUUUUGAACUACAUGUUGUUUCUACGAUU